GGUCAGACAGUCAGAAUACUCCUGUUUCGAGUUGAAGUCAUUUGGACCUGAGAGCAACUGCAAACUGAAGAAAAUGAAGAUCCAAAUUUUGGUGCUGGCCUUUGCUUUGGUGGCUGUGAUCACUGCAGCACCAGCAGCACCAGCCAAAAAGGCUGCUUCAGUAGACCCAGAUGAAAAGGCUCUGGACGAUGCUAUUGCCAAGAACAGCCCUGCAAUAGACAAGGCGCUCAAAGACGUCACUGACGACGAUGCGAUGU